AGAGAGAGAGAGAGAGAGAGAGAGAGAGAGAGAGAGAGGUAUAAGUCCCCGCAGACAGUGAUGAAUUGCUUGUAUAUCUUGAAGUGAACAAAGUUUUCAAAUUACACAAAACUUUCCAAAACAUUAAAAGAAAACAAGAACAAUACAAGAAUUUCAAGCGAAUAUUAAAGAGAAAGAGAGAAAGGGAGAGAAAGGAAGAGAGGGAAAGGAGAAGAGGGAAGGCUUUAUAAGUUUCGGGGAGGAGGAGGAGGAGGAGAAGAGGAGGAGGAGGAAGAGGAAGAGGAGGGAGGUCGUUCGGUCGGAGGAAGGUGGGAGUGUAAGAUUGAUAGCUUCGGUCUCUUUAAAAAGGAGAAAUUUAGGAAAAGUCGGAGGCUACACACACAUCUGUACGUGAUAUUCCUGUUAGUUUAUUUCUUUGGUGGUUGUUUUUCUUCUGUUUUAAUAUUUUCUCUAUUGUUUAUUUAUGUUUUGUCCCUUGUUUCUUUGUUCGAUGGUAAUUUAGUUAUUUAUUUUUUUGUAGAACGUCAGUAAAACAUAAAGGAAAAUCUGCCCUCCGUCCUGUAAUAUUUGGGAAAAUGUUAGGCUUUGUAGGAUAUCUCGUCUUACCUCUCGCGCUCCCUCCUCCCUAGGCAUUGAAAAAGUGCGGGAAAUUUGAAGGUUUAUAAAUGCACUGGUGUGUGUAUGUGUGUGUGAGUGUUAUUGCUAGUUAUCUCUCUCUCUCUGUCAGUAGUUGCACAGGUCUUCAAGGGUAUUUUUACGGUUUUAGUGACAGAUUAACAAAAUUUCUACAUUAAUAACAGGAGAAACACCAUUGAAAACCCUGAUAAUCAUCUUUAUAGCUUUGUAAAACAGUCGUGAGGAGAGAGAGAGAGAGAGAGAGAGAGAGAGAGAGAGAGAGAGAGAGAGAGAGAGAGAGAGUAGGAACAUUUCAGUUGAGCCUAUUCCGCCCUGGUUCGUGUUUGCUACGGUGACACGGUGCCGCACUGAGUGAAGAUUGCGUUCAUAAUCACUUAUCAGGGGUGGAGUGGGGAAAGGAGAGUCAGGAAGUGAGGAUAUUUAUAUUAUUUGACAUAUUAUUUGAUAGCAUGUCAAGUUUUGUGUGUGUGUGUGUAUGUGUGUGUGUGUUGGAUCAGUGACAGGUGGCGCUGGGGAGUUACCACGGCGAGCGGCUGGCUGGCUGGCUGCAGUGUUUUGGUCAGCACUGGUCAAUCUUGCCCUACACGCUCUAUUAACCAGUGUUUCCGUCUUCCCGACACCUUCUUCCUGCACCAAGCACCGUCAAGCAUCACCAGAAAGGCACGAGUACGUAAGCUAUCCAACAUCAGAACAGUAUAUGAAUAUGGCAAAUGCUGUUUUGACAUCAUUUCCUGCCAUCCUGAGAAACAGUGAUCUCGAGGAGCAUGAAUUGCAGCUGCAAUGGAAAUUGCGCAUCCAGCGCAAGUUUCAGAAUUCAAGAAAGAGGCAGGAUUCCUCAGUGACUGAGGUGACGUCAAGGAAAAAGAAGAUCCCUUGCAUAGCGCCAAAAGAGACUACGUGUCCACUGAUGUAUGGAGUAAAGGCUUACCUUCCACCAAGGCCCCAUUCAGAAGAUGAUGAGUCAUUAGAGAGACAUAGACAGUGGCUUGCUCUACAUUGGAUGAAGAAAGAUCCCGAGUUAGAUAAGAUAAUCAAGGAGUUCCUGAGAUUAGAACCACAAGCGGAUGAACCAGACCCAAGAGUAGCAGUUUUGAAAGGGCUGGAGAAAUAUAGGCUCCCAAUAAUUGCCAUUCUCAAAAAAAGAAAAGCAGUUCCUCUGUAUAUGGAAACCUUACUUGAACUCUAUGACCACGAUGAAAGUCAAUGCGAGUAAUGUCUUGUUCAAUUUGUUCAUUUCAGUAGCUGGCAGCAAUUUAAUAUAUGUAUCUUUUCAUCAUUAGCAAUGCAUCUUUCACUUUUUAUAAGCCUAGAAUUCAUGAAACUAUGCUGCAUGUAAAAACCAAACAUUGUAUUAAGCAUGACCUAUUUAACUGUAAUGCUUGCACCAAUUUCUAUAAAGGUACUAAUUUAAUUGUUAAAUUCUUGCUCUUCUAUCAAAUUUUUGGCUGAGUGCUAUGGCUAAAUAAUUGUUUGCAGCAUAAGUGAUGUUAAAGAUUUUAAUAGGUGUAAAGCAUCUCUCUCUCUCUCUCUCUCUCUCUCUCUCUCUCUCUCUCUCUCUCUCUCUCUCUCUCUCUCUCUCUCUCUCUCGUAAGGAAAGACAUUAUUUCUAGUGUAAAUAAACCCAAUAGGUUGUCCAAUUUGAAAUUUAAAAUGUAAAUAUUAUCAAUCUUUUUAGAAAUGUUAGCUGCAUCCUCUUCCCUUGCAGUCCAAUAAGACAGGUCACUAAUUUGUGUGGAGAUAGAAUUCUUGGAGUCACCUUUGCCGGCACUAGCGCAAGUGCAAACAGUCUGAUAAAGGUUUCUUCCAUGGUUGUGAUGAAGUUCAGGACUUCUCACACUGUUUUGGUGGAUAUGAUGAGAAGAAUUGGGAGUUCAGAACAUCAGUGCGUUAUGUUAUGGCAUGUAGGUUCGGCUGGGGUUUUCUUUCUUUCUUUCUUUUUUUUUUUCGAUCAGUACUCAUCAUAUUCUUACGAGGACUUGCUAAACAAAGCAUUAUUGCAUUAUGAUAUUACCCAAAUAGUGUCUCAAGUAAAAAACAUAACCGCAUACUCGUACAAAAGAUUUGCUGCUGUGACACAAAGGACAAAAAUCAUUAGUAUACUGGUCGUUCUGAGCAUUCAAUCAAAAUGCUUGUCAUUCAUAUAAUUAGUAGAACCAUUGAGGAGCUUUAUUUUUGUUAAUUCUUAUGUGAUAAAGCAAUAAUUACAGGAGACUUUUAAAAGAUUGGUACUCAAAUUAGUGGACUGUCUUAUUGGAUGUGACCAUAUCUUCACUUUUUCCUUACACAGUUAAUUUUCUUUUGUUUAUUUGAUUUACUUAUUAUCAUAUUUAUUUAUAUAUUUAUUUAUUUGCACCAGAUGCUUGCUUAGUUAUAUUGGGGUUACUUCAUCUGCUUGGAGAGAGGAAAGACUCCAUUUUUACUAAGGUACCAGAAGAAGAACUAAGAACAGGGCAGUCUAGUGUGUAUUUGAUGGUGCACCUGUAGCUGAACCAACAUGUAUUUCUAUGGCUGUAGUCUCAUUGGUAGCAGGGCUUUGUGUUUAAUAUUGAACACCCAAAAAAUUGUGAACAUUUCCUCCGUUUCACAACAUCCCAUCUCUUAGGUAUCAAGUAUGACAAAGGUAACACUUCAAAAACAAGAUCUCUACUUGUAAAACUCAAUGAAGUAAAGACAGAAUUGAGCUACAAAAAUGUGUAAAUCUGCUUCCAAAUAUAUUCAACUCCACACACAAUGUCUCUCUCUCUCUCUCUCUCUCUCUCUCUCUCUCUCUCUC